UAUAGUGCCAACACAAAACCGAAGGGUAUGAGUUGCACAUGGGUGGAUACACAAAAACUGAGGAGCUGAAAUGUUGAGUGCUGGAGGCAACCUAGCGGCGGACGGGUGAGUAACGCGUGAGCAAUCUGCCUCAUACAGGGGGAUAACAGGUGGAAACACUUGCUAAUACCGCAUAAGACCACAGCGCUGCAUGGCGCAGGGGUCAAAGGAGUAAGAUCCGGUAUGAGAUGAGCUCGCGUCCCAUUAGCUAGUUGGCGGGGUAACGGCCCACCAAGGCGACGAUGGGUAGCCGACCUGAGAGGGUGAUCGGCCACACUGGGACUGAGACACGGCCCAGACUCCUACGGGAGGCAGCAGUGGGGAAUAUUGCGCAAUGGGGGGAACCCUGACGCAGCAACGCCGCGUGAGUGAAGAAGGUCUUCGGAUCGUAAAACUCUGUCAUAGGGGAAGAAGGAGAUGACGGUACCCUAUGAGGAAGCCCCGGCUAACUACGUG
rnacentral:rRNA from 1 species